rnacentral:rRNA from 1 species
GACGAACGCUGGCGGCGUGCUUAACACAUGCAAGUCGAACGGAAAGGCCCUGCUUUUGUGGGGUGCUCGAGUGGCGAACGGGUGAGUAACACGUGAGUAACCUGCCCUUGACUUUGGGAUAACUUCAGGAAACUGGGGCUAAUACCGGAUAGGAGCUCCUGCUGCAUGGUGGGGGUUGGAAAGUUUCGGCGGUUGGGGAUGGACUGGCGGCUUAUCAGCUUGUUGGUGGGGUAGUGGCUUACCAAGGCUUUGACGGGUAGCCGGCCUGGGAGGGUGACCGGCCACAUUGGGACUGAGAUACGGCCCAGACCCCUCCGGGAGGCAGCAGUGGGGAAUAUUGCACAAUGGGCGGAAGCCUGAUGCAGCAACGCCGCGUGCGGGAUGACGGCCUUCGGGUUGUAAACCGCUUUCGCCUGUGACGAAGCGUGAGUGACGGUAAUGGGUAAAGAAGCACCGGCUAACUACGUG